rnacentral:tRNA from 5 species
GCGCGUAUAGCUCAGUUGGUUAGAGCGUUACAUUGACAUUGUAAAGGUCUCUGGUUCGAGUCCAGAUACGCGCACCA